GCACUGCCGCGCGACUCUCCGACCGCGUCUGUCUUCACCUCCGUGAAGCCGUCGAUGCAUACAUCUUGUGAAGCCCGGUCGCCGCGUCAGAUCGUCGAUCGAUUUUGAGGCAGCCGCCACGUCUCCUUUGGCCGACCGCUGACCGACCCACACUUAGGAUUUUUGCUGCGAGUUCGACAGUCGUGCGUUGAGGUGUUGGGAGUAACGUUGGGCUCCCUUAAAUUCACAACCAAUAUAUGAAUUGUUGAGGGUUCAGUUCGCCAAUACUUCGGAUUGUUUCGAGGACGUUAGUUGAUUAAGGAGCUUCCCUAACUUUGAGGUAAGGGAUUUUCUACUGGACUCACUUAUGAUUGUGAAUUGUAUGUCUGUAUGAUUGUCUCUGACUGAGUAAAGAUGUUGAGAUGAUAUAUAUAUAUACACGUAUGGAUGUAGAUUCGGUGUUGAAUGUAUACUGUGGAUUGACUGAAAA